rnacentral:rRNA from 1 species
GACGAACGCUGGCGGCGCGCUUAACACAUGCAAGUCGAACGGAAAGGCCUGCUUUCCCUUGUGGAUUGCGGGUACUCGAGUGGCGAACGGGUGAGUAACACGUGAGUGAUCUGCCCCCAACUUGGGUAUAAGCCUGGGAAACUGGGUCUAAUUCCCGAUAGGACUGCAGGGUGGUGCCUGUGGUGGAAAACGAUUUUCUAGUGGUUGGGGAUGAGCUCGCGGCCUAUCAGCUUGUUGGUGGGGUAAUGGCCUACCAAGGCGGCGACGGGUAGCCGGCCUGGGAGGGUGGGCGGGCACAUUGGGACUGAGAUACGGCCCAGACUACUACGGGAGGCAGCAGUGGGGAAUAUUGCACAAUGGGCGGAAGCCUGAUGCAGCGACGCCGCGUGGGCGAUGACGGCCUUCGGGUUGUAAACUCCUUUCGACCGCGAGGAAGCCACCUGGUUGGAAGGGUGGUGACGGUAGUGGUAGAAGAAGCACCGGCUAACUACGUG